UUAAUGGAGAGUUUGAUCCUGGCUCAGGACGAACGCUGGCGGCGUGCCUAAUACAUGCAAGUCGAGCGGG
rnacentral:rRNA from 1 species